AAUGGGCUGCAUUAAAAGCAAAGAAAACAAAAGUCCAGCCAUUAAAUACCUGAAAAUACUCCAGAGCCUGUCAGUACAAGGGUGAGCCAUGGGAGCAGAACCCACUGCAGUGUCACCAUGUCCAUCAUCUUCAGCAAAGGGAACAGCAGUUAAUUUCAGCCGUCUUUCCAUUCCAUUAUACCAUUUGGAGGAUCCUCAGGGGUAACACCUUUUGGAGGUGGGCAUCUUCCUCAUUCUCAGUGGUGCCAAGUUCAUAUCCUGCUGGCUUAACACGUGGUGUUACUAUAUUUGUGGCCUUAUAUGAUUAUGAAGCUAGAACUACAGAAGACCUUUCAUUUAAGAAGGGUGAAAAAUUUCAAAUAAUUAACAAUACAGAAGGAGACUGGUGGGAAGCAAGAUCAAUCACUACAGGAAAGAAUGGUUAUAUCCUGAGCAGUUAUGUAGCGCCUGCAGAUUCCAUUCAGGCAGAAGAAUGGUAUUUUGGCAAAAUGGGGAGAAAAGAUGCUGAAAGAUUACUUCUGAAUCCUGGAAAGAACAAAACAAAACAAAAACGAGAGAGCGAAACUACUAAAGGUGCUUAUUCCCUCUCUAUUCGUGAUUGGGAUGAGGUAAGGGGUGACAAUGUGAAACACCACAAAAUUAGGAAACUUGACAAUGGUAGAUACUAUAUCACAACCAGAGAACAACUUGAUACUCUGCAGAAAUUGGCAAAACACUACACAGAACAUGCUGAUGGUUUAUGCCACAAGUUAACAACUGUGUGUCCAACUGUGAAACCUCAGAUUCAAGGUCUAGCAAAAGAUGCUUGGGAAAUCCCUUGAUAAUCUUUGCGACUAGAGGUUAAACUAGGACAAGGAUGUUUUGGCAAAGUGUGGAUGGGAAUAUGGAAUGGAACCACAAAAGUAGCAAUCAAAACACUAAAACCAGGUACAAUGAUGCCAGAAGCUUUUCUUCAAGAAGCUCAGGUAAUGAAAAAAAUAAGACAUGGUAAACUUGUUCCACUAUAUGCUGUUGUUUCUGAAGAGCCAAUUUACAUUGUCACUGAAUUGAUGUCAAAAGGAAGCUUAUUCAAUUUCCUUAAGGAAGGAGAUGGAAAGUAUUUGAAGCUUCCACAAAUGGUUGAUAUGCCUGCUCAGAUUGCUGAUGGUAUGGCAUAUAUUAAAAGAAUGAACUAUAUUCACCGAGAUCUCUGGGCUGCUAAUAUUCUUGUAGGAGAAAAUCUUCUGUGCAAAAUAGCAGAUUUUGGUUUAGCAAGGUUAAUUGAAGACAAUGAAUACACAUCAAGACAAGGUGCAGAAUUUCCAAUCAAAUGGACAGCUCCUGAAGUUGCACUGUAUGGUGGGUUUACAAUAAAGUCUGGUGUCUGCUCAUUUGGAAUUCUACAGACAGAACUGGUAACAAAGGGCAGAGUGCCAUAUCCAGGUAUGGUGAACCAUGAAAUACUGGAACAGGUGGAGCGAGGAUACAGGAUGCCUUGCCCUCAGGGCUGUCCAGAAUCCCUCCAUGAAUUGAUGAAUCUGUGUUGGAAGAAGGACCCUGAUGAAAGACCAACAUUUGAAUAUGUUCAGUCCUUCUUGGGAGACUACUUCACUGCUACAGAGCCAUAGUACCAGCCAGGAGAAAACUUC
rnacentral:lncRNA from 1 species